rnacentral:tRNA from 1 species
GAGGGUAUAGCUCAGUGGUAGAGUGUGUGCUUAGCAUGCAAAAAGUCAGGGGUUCAAUCCCUAGCACCUCCA